rnacentral:rRNA from 1 species
GACGAACGCUGGCGGCGUGCCUAAUACAUGCAAGUAGAACGCUGAAGAGAGGAGCUUGCUCUUCUCGGAUGAGUUGCGAACGGGUGAGUAACGCGUAGGUAACCUGCUUUGCAGCGGGGGAUAACUAUUGGAAACGAUAGCUAAUACCGCAUAACAAUGGAUGACACAUGUCAUUUAUUUGAAAGGGGCAAUUGCUCCACUACAACAUGGACCUGCGUUGUAUUAGUUAGUAGGUGAGGUACUGGCUCACCUAGGCGGCGAUACAUAGCCGACCUGAGAGGGUGAUCAGCCACACUGGGACUGUGACACGGCACAGAGUCCUACGGGAGGGAGCAGUAGGGAAUCUUCAGCAAUGGGGGCAACACUGACCGAGCAGCGCCGCGUGAGUGAAGAAGGUUUUCGGAUCGUAGAGCUCUGUUGUAAGUCAAGAACGGGUGUGAGAGUGGAAAGUACACACUGUGACGGUAGCUUACCAGAAAGCGACGGCUAACUACGUG